rnacentral:rRNA from 1 species
AUCGACUUUUGGUUUUGUAUUGGAAUGAGUUAAGUAUAAACCCCUUUACAAGUAUCAAUUGGAGGGCAAGUCUGGUGCCAGCAGCCGCGGUAAUUCCAGCUCCAAUAGCGUAUAUUAAAGUUGUUGCAGUUAAAAAGCUCGUAGUUGGAUUUCUGUUAAUAAUUUAUAUAAAAUAUUUUGAUGAAUAUUUAUAUAAUAUUAACAUAAUUCAUAUUACUAUAUAUUUUAGUAUAUGAAAUUUUACUUUGAGAAAAUUAGAGUGCUUAAAGCAGGCAUAUGCCUUGAAUACUCCAGCAUGGAAUAAUAUUAAAGAUUUUUAUCUUUCUUAUUGGUUCUAAGAUAAGAAUAAUGAUUAAUAGGGACAGUUGGGGGCAUUUGUAUUUAACAGUCAGAGGUGAAAUUCUUAGAUUUGUUAAAGACAAACUAAUGCGAAAGCAUUUGCCAAGGAUGUUUUCAUUAAUCAAGAACGAAAGUUAGGGGAUCGAAGACGAUCAGAUACCGUCGUAGUCUUAACCAUAAACUAUGCCAACUAGAGAUUGGAGGUUGUUCUUUUAUCUUCCUUGAAA